AACGAACGCUGGCGGCGUGCUUAACACAUGCAAGUCGAACGUGAAAGACUUCGGUCGAGUAAAGUGGCGAACGGGUGAGUAACGCGUGGGUAAUCUGCCCUCGGGCGGGGGAUAACCUCUCGAAAGGGGGGCUAAUACCGCAUGAGACCACGGCUUCUUGGAGCUGUGGGAAAAGGUGGGUCGCAAGACCAGCCACCUGAGGAUGAGCCCGCGUACCAUUAGGUAGUUGGUGGGGUAAUGGCCUACCGAGCCUGAGAUGGUUAGCUGGUCUGAGAGGACGAUCAGCCACACUGGGACUGAGACACGGCCCAGACUCCUACGGGAGGCAGCAGUGGGGAAUUUUGGACAAUGGGCGCAAGCCUGAUCCAGCCAUGCCGCGUGAGUGAAGAAGGCC
rnacentral:rRNA from 1 species